GAGUAGCAAAGGUCGACAUCGGCAAUGGUCGAUUCGUGGCGAACGGUCAGAGGUCGAUUCGCGAACGGUCAUACGUCGAUGCCCGAACGCACCGAACCAAUCGAACCUAGUUCACCAUUGUGCAUUUUAUUUUACUUUUCAUUUUAUCGUUUGUUGCAAAUGGAGCAUUAUGUAUAGGCUGCUUGUCUUUGCCGUGGACGACACUAAAGACCUCUAAGUUUAAGUAGCUCUCUUAGCAGAACGAGAGCCAUACUGGAUCAGGAAAUUCCAUCAAUGCACCCUGUCUCUCUUUAGUAGGGAGCCGAGGCACCCUUCUAUGACUCAGUCUUGUCACGUUACAGUAUGAGGAACUGCGCAAAAGCAGAUUGAAGCAAAGGAAACUGUGUCGGUAGUAAAUUCUAGGUAUCCUACAUGAAUGUAUUUAUUUCCAAGUAACUCCUGUGGGUAACAAAACGUUGGCUUCCACAUCAAGAAUAAAGUUGUCAAAGUAGAGGCUUGAAAGCAACUUACAAUGAGGUAGAUGUAAAGACCUGUGAUAUUAAAGCGUAUUAAAGGUGAUAAGGAACUUUACCAUCGAAGAAAUCUUCAGUCAUGGCGACUAUGACCAUGGAGCAGAGACGUUUCCCUCGCUGUAUAAGAAAAUCUGCCACUAAAGUUUUUCAAGAACAAGAAAAGCUACAGUUUCAUCUGCAUUUUUCAUCAACUUGGUUCUCAAGAAACCUUCAAUGAUCAGACGCAAUGAUAUGCUCCUCUGGCGUGGUAGCGAGUGGAGAUAAUCUAUGAACUGCUGAAAGACUACUUUUUCCUCAAAAAGUGGAUUUUUCCACCUACCUAAGCGAAAGUCGUAGAAUGUCCACUCAAUUAGGGCUCAGACUGAAAAAGAAAUUAAUUAAUUAAUUUAAACUGACUCAAAAACACUUCUGGAUUGAACAGCUUCGAUUAACUUCCCACCGUUCCGACAAUGAACAGCAGUGGCUA